CAGCUUUGUUGGAGCUGUGGGGACCUGAGGCUGCAGCACAGGCUGCUUUGUCUAAUUCACUGGAAAAAGGAGAUAUCAGCGGAUGCAGAAAGAUGAUAUGUGAGACGGGAAAAGAAAGCAGAGAUGACAACAGGACUCACGGGCCACCGCCUGAAAGGGUGCAGAACGGACCUCACCCUGAAGGUAUGGAUGAGCUUCUCAUCAGUCUCUUACUGUCUCAUCAUCGUGUUGACUGGCUGGCAUGCCUGAGGACAUAAGACAGUCAGACACAAACACUGGCAGGCCUGCAGGUUGACUCCUCAGUGGUAUGGCAGGUCUCACUGUGUCUUAUGAGGUCGUGACUCCCAACCAAGACUGUGACUUGGAGAAACAGGACUGAGGAGCUGCAGCAGAACAUGGGAUGCCCCUUUUUAUUUUUGUUUUGUUUCACUUUUUUUUCUUUGUUGAAUAGGUGGAAAAUUCCUCCUUCUGUACUUGCCGGAGCAAAGCAAAACAUUUUCUUGGCAACAAAUGAGGCAGAGUUUACAUAAGAAACAUAAUGUGACUGUAACAAAAAAAAAAUCUGAAAGCUCUGGCAGUUCUCUGUGUUGUGUUGUAACUGAGGAAACAUUAUUCUUUCUUCUCUCUUUGUGAUUGUCGUCUUCUACGCCACUGAAAAUGUGAUUUAUUUUAAGGGCAGCACAUUUUCUUUGUGAACAUAUUUUUAGAGUUAGCGCAGCCACUUGUCUGCAUUAUCUGUAUGUCCCACAUUAUAUAUGUUCACUAUGAGUCUGGUACCAUGUGGAACCAAUUGUUUUUUAAUA